rnacentral:tRNA from 1 species
AGAAAUUUAGGUUAAGCAUAGACCAAAAGCCUUCAAAGCUCUCAGUAAGUUAAAUAAACUUAAUUUCUG